UUGAAAUACUGGUUCUCAUAUGAUCACCAAAAUUAAGCAUUGUUGGGCCUGGUCAGUACCUAGAUAGGUGACUGCUUGGGAAUAACAGCUGUU